rnacentral:lncRNA from 1 species
UUUUUUUUUUUUUUUUUUUUUUUGGUUUUGGUAUUUUGGGGGUGGGGGAGUCCAUUUGCUACCACAUACAUGCAAAAAAGGAAAAAAAAAACAGAAGGAAAAAAAAAGCUAAUAAUGUGGCCUACUAUUCCCCACUAUGAUACUAUGGUGCUUGUGAAAAUGAAUGAGAUUUACUUGCAAGUUCAAAUUUGAGUGGAAAUUUGAACUGCCGCAAACCAAUUACAGCACAGAAAGAACUGUUUAGCGACAAGACUCUCAAUUACUAUACUGAGAGUCUUUUCUAGCCAAAAGCAGCAGAGUUCGCGUCUUCUAUCAUUAUAUCAAGUUUUUUUGAAACAUAAAGAUCGAAAAUAUCAUUAUUUUUAGGAACUAUGGUUUACAAUCAGAAAUUCGAUCAUGACUCUACCACAUUACAUACCAAUAAGUAUCGUUCAAUGCGACAAAAAACUAGCAAAGCUCAUUAAACGUAAAUAACAGGCUUGUCUAUAAAGUAGCUAAAUUUAGCUCUACAUGAUUCAACCCCAGAAAUCUUCAACUAGUAUUGCCAUCAAAGCACGAAAGAAACCUCCGGAAUUUUUUAUUUUAUUUUUUUAAAAGACACAUGCAACUGCAACAAUGCAUUAAACAUCUAAAAGAUAUCCUUUAAUUACAUCAAUUGGCAAAACCACCGCAUACCAUCCAACUACGAAGCCCUGAAGUACCAGAAUGAGUAACCAAAAAAAAUUUUUUUUAACACCUUGGAAACAAAAAUUCAAAGUUCAUUUCACCAUAAUUAACAAAAGAAAACCACACAGAGAAGCAGUAACAACCAAAAUUGCACCACAAUCACAAAUAAAAACAAAAAGGGUCAGCAUAUAAAAAUAAUUAACUCAAGAUAAAGCUCAAAACUUGAGAUUAAAGCAGUAAAGUCAGUAACUUUAAGCCUGUAUGACUAAGUAUUCAGUGAUCUGUGUAAGAAAUUCAGGUGGGUUCUGUUAAUGAAAGUGCUUUUUUAACUCACUUAUAAAUGGAAAAUCAGCAAAAGCUCCAUUUUUUUCGGCUUGCCAACAGUAGAGGAAAAAAUGCUUCGCCUUUCUCUGCUUAUUUACAUAUACACUACAUAAAUGUAUAAAGUUAUACAGCUUUUUCUUCUCUCUCUAAAGAUAAGUAGUGUGCUUUGCAGAGAGAGUUGAGCUCUCUUUCAGACUGGGCUGAAGAUAAAGGGACCAAAGCAGCGUGAAAUAUCAUAUUACAUUAAAUAUUUUCAAGAACCGAAAACGAAAAGACCAAAAAGAAAAAAGAGAAAGAGAAAGGCAUAGGCUCGGACCAAGCCUAGAGAUUCGGAGUGGGGCUCGGUAUUUGGAGGCUGGGGUAAUAAAUGGUGAGAAAUGUCGGCGUGUUUCCACUAUGUAUGCGGACGCGGUGUACUGACCGUUGGAUUCAGAUAUUCAAUGGUUGAAGAGAAUGACUUGUAAAUGUAGCUUUGCAGUCGCGGAGUACGGGGCAUUAUCUUGGCUUGCGAAGGGCAAAAAGGCUGGGCGCUGGGUGUGGUGGUACACGCGCUCUCCUUCAAUCGUGCACACCGCUUCUCUUUCUUUUGAGAAGGCCUAGUGUAUUACUACUAUUUUUUAUUUCUAUGGAAUUUUCGGGAGACGUUUUCGAGCAUGAAAUUCUUUCUUUUCUUCUCUUUUUUCGGUUACUAAAUAUCUUUUUUUUUUUUUGUCCGGGGCCAUUGAUUUGAGUUUAUUUUAUAUAUAUAUAUAUAUAUAUACUGACAAUAUAUACACUAUUACAUGUAAAAAAAUGAUAUUCAAAUUAAAAAUGAAAUUAAGUGACAUGCAUCCCAAAAUAUAAAUAUAUAUUCUAUCAGUAUAUACAAUAUUAAAUUUUUUUUUGUUUAAAUAUCAUCUUGAACCUAUGAAGACUAAUUCAAGCCCACAAGAAAACAAUUAAUCUCUUGUUGUUUUCUAGUAUUAAUUCAGAGAAAAUGGCAUUGGAUACUAGUACUAUUUGGAACCAUGCGAUGUAGAACGUCCAACUCUUAGCUUUGUUAUAGAAGUAAUAAUAAAAAUUAAUCUAAGCUGUCAUCAUAUGUUUCCAAAGAGAGAGAAAAAGAAAAAGAAAAAAUAUGUGCCCCUAGCACUCACUAGUGCCGAUACUUCAAGCAUUCAUACCAGAGAGUCGAGUGGCCUACAUAACGCACAUGGGCUGGGCUUUGAUUGUCCGGCCCAAACCAGAAACAAGCCAAAUAAUCAUCAUUAUUGCUUUCUUACGCUAUUUGUGCAUGUAAUUACACUACAUAUGAAUAUUAUCUUGUGUUUUCUUCACAGUGCAUAUGAAUAUGUUUCUGUUCCAAGACAAAUGGAAAUAAUUUUGAAUUUUGAUUAUGUGCCAACAAAACAAGCGCCAUGCCAAAAUUGCUUCAUACUAACAUGUUGUUACUCUUUGACCCCAAAAAAAACCAUCUUAAAUGUGUUGUCUUCACGGUUGACUGUAGGUCGAAACCGCAUGCUUGUUUGCUGUCAAUGGAUCCAGUUUAAAAGGGCACUGAAAAUGAGGGCAGGAAACUGCAGUUCGUUCAAGCAGUCACUUCCUGAAAAAUGGAACAAAUGUUGCAGGAGUAUUUAUUUACUUAACUUACGUUUCAGUUCAGGUUCGCCAUCAAUUACUAACACAACUCACUGGGAAAAAGAUGCAGUACGUACGCACGCACGCACGCACGUACGUACUACUUGCUUCAUUCCAUGCAUGCAUACUUGCAUAGAUGCAGGAGGGGAUUCACUUUUUAAUAAUCAUAAAACUGAUCAUCACAUCAGAUUCAGAACCAAAGCGAAAGAUUCUCUGCUUUCUCGCUCGCUGCUCCUCCGCCAAGGCAGGAACAGUCGUCAAUUCUAACCUUUUUCCGAAGGCAUGCAUAAUAAGGCCCUUUCCCCAUAUUCAACUAAUCUCCAAGUUAUACAUUGAAGCGGAAUUUUUUUGUUCUUGAGUUCUUGAGUAGUAGUUAUUAUUACAGUGUAUUAAUACCACCUUUUUAUUGUCACUGCAAUAUUUUCUUGUAUGCUAAUAUAUAUGGGUGGGGAUAGCCUUAGUUCUUGACGGUUCCACAAUCAUCAUUUCAGUCUUCAAACGGAUGAACUCCCUUCAUUUGUUCCAAAAGGGAUUUAGAUAUUUGGAGCAAUUCUUGGUGAAUGAGUUUGAAUGAAUGAUCUGGACCGAAUAUUUAUUUUAUUGUUCUGGAGAGAGAAAUAAAUUAUCAGUUUACUAGACCACAACAUAUAUAUGGAAAUUGUUUUAUUAUUAAUUGAUGUAAUGAAGGCAGUUAAUUGAGCAGGUUAAAUGAUGUAUUUCAGCAGACGUAACAUAGGGAAUUCAUGAAAGACACUAAAAUGAUUGGAUGGACUAGUUACCGAUUAGCACAUUUGAUAUAUCAACUAUGGUUGCUUAGCUCGCAAAGCAGCACAUGGGGAUGUAGCUCAAAUGGUAGAGCGCUCGCUUUGCAUGCGAGAGGCACGGGGUUCGAUCCCCCGCAUCUCCAAUUUCUUUUUUCUCCCCUGCAAAGUGCUCUAUAUACACAGGCCUCCUGUAGAAACUGCAGCAACAGCACUGGAAGAUGCAAAAAUGUUAAGCAUCUUAUCAUCCAGACGCCCAACUGCUUAUACCAUCAUAACUGGCCUUUACUUUUUAUCAUUCAGGCAUGUAUGUAUUCUCGAAUUUUAUUGCGUGACGAACGAAGGAUCCAGAACAGAUUUAUCAGUAGCAAUAACAGUUUGUUGUAGUACUAAUUUCUUGGUCCAUACACAAAGUACAAUUGCAAUAACUAAAACUAAAAUCUGAUGCUACUACCGUCUCAACCACAACUGGUAGUCUGAGCCUUUGUCCACAAACUUGUCCCAGCUCCCAUCCAAAUGAACCUCCUUAAAAGGGUUCCAGUCCAAGUACCCAAGCUUCAAAACCAGUGUUUCUCCAAUUUGUGCUACAUACCCAUCAUUAUUUGCAUGGUAUAUCUUUACAGGACUUCGACAAUGGAUCCCGGCCCUUGUUCGAGAUUCAAUUAAUUCGCUGAUGAUCUCCCGAAGCCCAAAAUCGUAAAAGUGAUCAUAGAAUAUCACAGGCUGGGAAAAAAAUUAAUAACAAUAGAAGAAGACCAAAGAGUUAGUUAGAACUAUCUUCUGGAUCAUAUCCAAAGUCAAUAAUGAACGUAUUGAGGAAAUUACCGUUCCUGGAUGGGUUAAAAUAUAUGCAUAUCCCUGCGUAAGCUUGUCCCGGGGAAAUGGCCAAUGACCCUGAAAGAAAACAAUUCCAAUAAUAUUUGCAGACGUAUACACUGCUGAUACCUGAUUGUUAAAUCUUUCCACAAAUAGGUAACACAUGAUUCACUCGACAAAGAUUCAGGAUGAAUCAUUUAACUACUACACAAAAGGUUACGUCAUAAAUUUGCAAUAUAUGUCUUCGCUAACAAGGCCAACGAAAGAUGCACAAGUACAAAUAUUCACUAUAAAAAAGGGUCGGGAGCCUUGCACUGAUAUAGAUCGAACCCCUAUCUACAGUUGAUCUUUACUGCUUUACAGAUUCAAGAGCUCAAAAUAUCUCAACAAAAUAGUUGAUCAUUCUGUCUCACCGCGUGAGCAUGUCUCUGUGUGUUGUGCGCAUAAGAGAGAGAGAGAGAGAGAGAUGUACCUGUGUCGAUCCAGUAUCAUGAUUCUCUAAGAAAGUUACGGUACGUGAGGGCCACCAUCCCAUUACUCCUGUUGGUUUUCCUUGAGGAUCAAUUAACCUCCAAUACUGAUUAUGCAGAGCAGAAUGGAGUAUACCCUGCAGAAAACUCCGAAAACACAGAAAUAUGACUGAAUAUAAACCAAUUAAUAUUCUACGAUUACCAGCCAUAAUCAUGAAUCAGAAAGAAGACAUCAGCCUUGUCAUAGAACAUUUACGUCAUCACACAGGUUUAAAUAAAUACUCUCUGAUAAGAAAAUAUGUAUCUGAAACUUAGGCUUUCAAAUUUUUAAGUAAGACUCACCAAACACCUGACACAUUGCAGCAUCAAACAAAGCAAGGCAAAAGGAAGUUGCAUAUAAAACAUUUAAUUUGAAUAUGACGGCUGGGGAAGAAAAACAUGAAGGAGUCUCAAGAAAAAGCACCUUCGUUGUGACGUCGAAUGCUGAGGAUAUACCACCAGUGGCAUUGAUCCAGUUAACUAUCCUUUGCCGAUGAGCAUCUGCACGUGUGAAUCGUGAUUGCCAUGAAGAAAUCAGCAUGAAUUUGGAAGUGACUCUUCAAAGUUAUGCGAUUUGAGACUAAUGCAAUAUUUGAACUAUUAUACACAUAGUAGGAUCAAAACAAACUAUUAUACUAGCACAUGUAAAAGCAUGUGAUGCAGAAUAAAAGAAAGAAGUGAAUCAGAUAUGUGUGAUAAGUUCCGAUUAUAAAAUGCACCUCUAAAGUUGACAACUAAAGAGGGCGUAAAAAGGUUAAUUCUAACUCUGAAUGAUAAAACCAUGUUUAACAGCUUCCCAAUCAAAUGAAUUACAUGGCUAGGUGGUGAGGCUGUACUGCUAUUAGGUAGUACAGCUUGUCAGUGUCAUCUUCUUUAAUUUUAUUUUUACUUGGGUUAUGGGACUGAUAGCAUGUUGGAGCUAAAUUAGGGCAUUAAUUUGCAUGAAGGUCCUAUCAGGCUAAAAGUAUACAUCACGACAAGUUAAGGUCUUUGACAAAGGGAUUGCAUGAAUAUAUGUGUGUGCGUGUGUAGAUCCAUCAGUUGACCCAGGUUCUCCAAAACUCCAAGCAGGACAAAACUUCCUUAUUUAAAGCUUGAACUCAAGGGCUUACCCUGGUUAUAACAGAGAUUACCACCUUCAUAAGCCAAGCUAUCCCAGUACUCUCCAAUAGCAAAAGCAGGAUUCGAAGCCUCUAUAUAUUCUUUGACAUAUUCACCUGCAAAUCCUCUGCCCAACAAGAAAGCAUUCAUGGUGUGAAAAAGAAGUUUUCAGAACUUGCUGAACUUGUCGACUCUAGAAAUUUAUAAAGAUCCAAUAUAUAUGCCUUUGUGCUUUGUUACAGGACCGAACCUUGCAGCAUUCAUCAGGGUUUUGUCCUAAUGCCCCUCUCAAAAUUAUCAUCAAAUUACUAAUACGUUAUACAACCAAUUCUUUGGUACAAGAAGAAAUGAUUACUUGCUACCCAGCCUCAAGAUCUGAUGUUGUUCGAUGAAAAGGCUUGUACUUUAAGCAGAGUCCGUUAUAUUACUGAAUGCAACUAUUUAUGUAUGCAAAAUAUGUUAUAUUGCUUAACAAAUGCUCUUUAAAAGAGGCCGUGAGAUAAUGCCUUAAAAAGAACAUAUCAGACAGCAUAGCAGACUAUUGCACGAGAUAAAAGAUAUGUUUUCUUUUCCUAGUUCCAUGCUUGAACGCCCAAAACAAGAGGGGAAGGCAGGGGAAAAUAAAAAAGAAAACAAUGAACAUGGUACAUGAGAAGUCCAAUGUACUUGUAACACAUUCACCUAACAAAAUCUAGCCGCCACCCGUCAAAACCAAUAUCAUUCCGGAGCCAGUUUAGCCACUCUCUUAUAUCCUUUCUAACAAAGUCCUGGGAAUGAUCGAUGUUUGGCGCCGCAUGAAAGAUGUCACCUGCUCCACCACAAAAAGCAUGCAAAUAAAUAUCAUUAGCACCCUUUGGCUAAGUUAUUAGUUUGCACAUUCAUCAUAUCACCAGCUUACAAAAGAUAUAACAUCUGAUGUCAUUCUUUUCCAAAACAGAUCAUUAGAAGGAUGCUUAGCAGAAAGUACAUCACAUUAACCCUUCCUAUACAUUCCAAAAGGUUAUAUUCAAAUCCCGGUUUGAUAUUGUUACUUAGGAGUUACAGUACGAAGUCUGAAUGAAAAUCAGAGACCAUGCAUUGUCAAGGUAACUCUAGCUCAGAAAGCAUCCUCUUUUCAUGCUUGACUCUGGAAUUCAAUAUUGUCCUUCAGAUAGCUCCAACUUAACAAUUUCAUUUAAUUGAGGAAUAUCACAAGACAUUUGAAACAAAUCUUUAUCGGUGAAGACAAAGAGAUCCAUUACAAUCCAAACCGUAAAAAUGGUUCAGUCUACCAAAGGCAUCAAGUUAACCUCAAAAGAAACAAUAGACUGGAACUUUUGUUACUGUAACAGUAACAUCUCCAAUUUCACACAUAUUCUUCAUCUUGAUUUGCUACACACAUUCUCCAGUUCAUAAGCUCGUUGGUGCAACUCCUCCUUCAUGACAUGGUAACAAACAUGAAACUACAACGUAUGACAACAAACACUUCUAUUGACCAAGACAGUCCAAUAUAGGCUACUAAAAUAUUGACACAAGUAGAUUAUUUCAGACAGGACUUCUGUACUUUUUCCCCAAAACAAAAUAUUACACAAUAUAUGCAUUAAAAUGUGAAUAACUCUCAGGACAGAGCAUUAUCUUCGUCAUACUGAGGAAUCCAUCACUUAACUCAUUGAAACACAGACGACAACAUCUACUACACUUUGAAAGAUCUAACAGCAACCAAUUUCACUGGUAGUUCAAAUGAAAGUAAAAUUUCGAAACCACCUCAUGGAUAUUAAAAGAAGUACAAGACCAAUAUAUAGCGAGGUGUAUAACAAAUUUGAAUAAGCACAAUUAUUUGUGUCAACACACAGCUGCAAGGACCUAACCUAUAUCAUUUGCAAUGGACAAGUAUGAUUCCAUAUACUGGAAAAGAAAGUGUCAACAGUACCAGAAACAAGUUUCUAUUGAGAUUUCUGUACCACUUGAAGGAUUUCCAUGCCCUUGGAAAUUUGGGUCAUCACAAACAAUUGCUUCAGGACCCCAUGCAAGCUUGCCCCCAAAUAUAUUCCAGAUGCCAUUUGGACUCUGUGAUGAGAAAGUACUAAUGAUGUUAUGGCAUUUUAGCAACCAUCAUGUAGUUUAACCAAUUAGUCCACCCUGAGUCUUCACCAUGAUCAGUACAAGUGCAGUUAUCAGGAGAGAUAGAAAGACAGAGGUAGAUAGAAAGACAGAUGCAAUGAUAGAGAGGAACUUUGUAUGUUACAUUCAGCAUAUUAACAUGAACCCAGUGUGUUUUCCCCCUAAUUGGUGUAGGAUACAAGUCAUAGAAGGUUAUUGACAAUACAAAUCAUAAAGGCACUGUGGCAAAAGUAGGUAAACAGAUCUCUUGGUUUAUUAUUGGAUAAGCCUGAGGAAUGAUCUUUUGCACUGCCACUAUAAAGCAAAUAUCAGAAAUGUCAUUAAUAGUAAUAGCCCGUAUAUCACAUUCUAUGCAUCAUUGACUUACUCAAGUAACAGAGAAAUUUCAGUAUAUGCCGAUAAACAGCAAUAGAACCCAUAAAACAUAUCAAGCAAAGCUGUCUCAGUUUAGAAAAUUAAUUAACUCAAGAUGCAAUCAUAUCACAGUUUCCUGAUGAAUUCGAUAAUACGUCAGUUACUUAAUUGAGCAUACCUCAUUAAAUAACUAAACAAUCAGGAAUGAAACUGUGUCAUGGUUUUCUGACAAACUAAAAAAAGAUUUGUAAAACAAGAGUUACCUGUUUAUGAGCACAUCUGUGGUUCAGUACAACGUCUCCCAAGGCCUGUGAAACAUAUGAAAUACAACAAUUAGCAAGUUUAAGUAUGAACUUAAAGUAUACUGAAAGCCAACCUUUUUCCUUGAGUAUAUAGCUAAUUACCUAAUUAAAGACAUCACUGACAGAGAGUGCCUACGUAUAUAUUCAAUCAUACAACACAAGAAUCAAAUACUCAAACAUACGUAAUUCUAGCAGCUGAAAAACAUCUGAGUGCUGUAACUCAUAUUGUGAUGGAAAUUAAAUUGUUAAUCAACCAGACAAACAAAUAAGUCACAAAUUUCCAACAAAAACACCAAUUUGUAGUCCUCAUACAUACCAGGAGAUCUUGGUUAUGCAUUUCAACAAUGCAAUGCUUCAGCUCUUCCUCAGAACCAUAUUCUGAGUUCAAGUUGUAAAGAUCAGAAGGCAUAUAUCCUGCAUGACAUAUUAACCCAUUGACAAAAGUUGCAUACAUACAAAUAAAGAAAGUAAUCCCUGUACAUUUUCAUAAUUUCAUGAACAUGGAAUAAAUAAUGUUGUAAUAUAUCAAUAAAAAUUUCCACAAGCUCAAAAGAAUGCUUAGUGUUGAAAACAGUGAACACAUCAAUUAGACAAUACUCCAUUAUUCCACCUUAAGGACCAUGGCACCAUCACGUUUGAAAAUAAUUUUGAAAAUUCAACAGAAUUUCUGCAUUUCAAGUCUAGGAUAAAUUAGAAAGGUAAUAACCUUGUGGAGCAACUGAUUCCGUUGGAGGCGGCAACCAUACAGCUGUAAUACCAGACCGGGACAAAUCAGCAGCUUUAGCAGCAAGCUCAAGGUACCACCUCUUUCUCCAGCUUUCCCAGUUAAACCCUUGGAACUUGAACCAAACGAAUUUGAUAAGAUAAAAGACAUUAAACAUCAAAGAUCAUAGCAGGUCCACGGAAGAAUAUCACCUAGUGGAAUAAAAGUAAGCAGAAAGAAUGUUUGUAGAGCAAAAUUCUACAGUGAGGGUAUUUUGUAUCACCGGCAUCCCAACAAGAAGACUAAACAAGCUAUGUAACUUCUCAAAUUCACUGUUUACUCAAAUUAAGUAAAUGAACCAUCAAAAGAAAAAUCUGAGAAGGAAACAUGCAGAUUAAAAGGCCAGACAUAGUUCAUGAAACAGGCAUCGUUUCAAAUAUUAUUCCUGAGCUAUAACUACUGGAAGCGGUUGUAGUAGAAAACUCACCACAAUCUCUCGUCCAGUUCCAGUUCCAGGCUCUGCAUUCAAAAGAAGUAAGGUUAAGUUUUUUAUUUUUUGGGCAUGAUAAAAAAAUUAUUGGACAAGUUAAUAAACAAAAUUUUGUGAUUCAAGAGAGCACACCUAACUUUAUUUCUUCUGGAGUCCUCUGCCAUUUAAUUGUCUUCCGUUGAAGUGCACGUUCUAAAGCCUUCCGCUUUUUCUCUAUAACUUCUUUCUCAAGGACGUGCUCCACAAGUAUGUCACCUUCCUUUGGCUUUUCUUUAGCAAUUGACCAUACUUCAUCUAGCCUGGGCAAGUCCAAAGACAUAAACUUGGAUAUCUCAGCUUCUGAGACAUCAGUCUUUCUAGGUGGAAACUUGGGAAACUUGGAUAAACUUCGGGCCAUCCAAUCCGGUAUGUCUCUGCGAGGACCAUCAGUCAGUAGUUUCCAUUUUUGUGAAUCCUCAUCCAUCAGGAAAUCCAAACGUCCACCAUUGACAACAUAAAAUGCACUUUUGUCCUCCUCACAGGGGGAUCUCUGGUUCAUUAACAAGGCCUCUGCUAUUUCUGCUCUUUGUCUCCACGUCUUUGAAGCAGCUUCAGAUGCUCUUAGAGAUCUCUCUAACGCUUCACAUCUCUUCAUGUAGGCGUCAUCUUGGAAAUGUGCAGUUUCUUUAGCUGCUUCAAUAGCAGCCUUGAUAGCGUCCAACUCAACCUUAAGAGCCUUCGAAGCUGCCCUCUCUUUUUCCACUGCAUCCUUCUUAAUCUUUUCCAAAAAUGAUUUGACUUCCUCCUCUUGUUGAAGAGCUGCUUUCUUGCUUGACUCUUGAAGUUCAAAAAAGGCUUUCUCAGCUUCACUUACUUGGUGUUCAAAAGCACUACAUCGUUGAUGGGCCUGUUCCAACUCCAACUGUAACCUGUUAAUCUCAUUGCUCGAAACUAUUAAACGUGACUCUAAGUUAUUGAUGUCAUUUUGUAGCUUAAUAUUUUGAGAUUGAACGUACAAAAUAUCAUCAAGAGGAUUCAUAUCAUCUGUAAAUAAAGCCAUGGCUUUAGUUGACUGAUCACCAGCUGAUUCUGCAACAGCUAAUGCUUUCUCUAUUGCAAUUUUAGAUUGCUGCACAAUGGAAAAUAUUGUCCCCUCUGUGGCAUGCAGGAUUUGUUCUUCAAUUUGAUAUGCUGCCUCUGCAGCAGCUGUUUCAGCUGCUGAAACUUUCAAUUUUGCAUCUUCUAAUAUGUGAGAUGUUGCUUGCUGGAAAGCUAUUUCUGCCAACUUUUCAACUUGCACAGCAAGCUCAAGAGCAUCUUGUUUGGCAAGGACCAACUUAGACUCCAAAUUGAACUUCUCCCCAACAGACUGCUCCAACUUCUGAUUGAACAGAGCUUUUGCUGCCUCAAGCUCUGCAAUGGCCACCUCCUUAUCACGCAUGAUAGUGGCAACAUACUCCUGCUGCUUAGCCUCAGAACGAGCUAAUUCUUCAAGUAAUAAAUCUCUCUCUUUCUCAAUAGCAUCUUGUCUGGCUCGCGCCUCAGCUAGAGCAUUUCUAGUUGCCAGAAUUUCAUCUUCGUCAGCCCCUAUAACUUCACUCCUCCCCGAUGCAUCGCCAUCGCUAUCAUCUAGAACAUCAGCAGAAGUCCCUCUUGAAGCACCCUAUCAUUGAGAAGAAUUUUGGAGACAUAGACAAUUCACAAUUUAACAGCUGCCACUUAUUCACUUUAGCAAUCUUUAUUAGCAAUUGCUCUAUUUAAACAUGCUUCUUGAGCAAUAAGACGUUUCUUGGAAUGAAAUUUUAGAAGAUAGCCAUCCUAACAGUUCAUGCUGUCAGUUUGGUGCUUGUAAAGAUCUCUUUUCUACUAUAGAAUGCACCAAACUGAAUCUGUGACCCCGAUAACAUGUUUCAACACGUUUUGAAAUUAGCUGGCUUAUCGCGAUUCUUUAUACAUAUUAAUCAUGUAGCUCAUACACAAAUACGGGCAUAAAGCAUAAACCUUUUCUUCUCAUAAAUCAAGAAACCACAACAAAAUUAGUAGAAAGCACAAGGUCAUGACCUAUAACAGCUUACCGUUCUCGAGAGAGGAGUAGUCCUUAGCUUACGCUGCAAACCAUCUGAAUAACAUGUUUUCCUACAAAAUAUGAUGCAUUAAAUAGAUAACUCGUGUAUAUAGAAACAUCAAUUAGAAGCCAAUUAUUAUGUAUGAAGGUAAAGAGUUUUGCUUGUUCAAUACCUGUUUCUGUUCACAGGAUAAAUAUUUCUCUUAUUAAGUACAAGAUAAGAUAUGCGGCCACAAUGCACCCCAGAUGAAACUACGGGAGUGGGUUGAUUUAGCAAAGAAGCCCUCAAAUUUACUGUCUCGGACAAUGAAGCUGCACCCAUACCGUCCUGCCAUCAAAGAAAUAUUUAAUUCAUAAUUCUGGAAAGUAUCAGUUCUUGAAAAUCACCAAUAAAAUAAUAAAAAGCUAUAAGCAGCCCAUCCAAAAAAAAAAAAAAAGAAUAAAAGUGAAACUAGCGCAUUUAUGAUUUGACGGAGGAUAAAACAUUAAGGGAAUACGUUUUCCGACCGGAUGAUUUCUCCAAUCUCAAAUGCCUAACUUUUACAUCAUUUGGACAUGAGAAGAAGAUUCUGAAACUAGUAUUAAAAGAGAGAGAGAGGAAGAAGAAGAAAAUGCCAGUAAAAAGGAGGUAAAAAAGUACUACUAGUACCAGUAUAAUGACUGGUGCUUUGCUAAUUGUAGCAGAGUGCAAAGAAGCAUGGAUAGAACUCCACUUGUGGGAGAGAGGAGCAGUAGCGACUAGCGAAGCGGGAGAAGCCUCGCCCUGGCCCACGCUGGCCCCGAGGAAAAGGCAUCGUGUGCUUCCUAUAAAUCACGGGGAUUUGAACCUGUUACUUACUUUCUACUUUGGUUGACCUCCACUUAAAAAGGACUUGACAAUAAAUAGAAAGGUAAAAACAACAUAUGAACCGGAAAAGGACCCCUUUCGCUCGGAAAUGGAGCAGGAACGGUUGUCUCGGCAGUUGACGGUCAUGGACCGGAAUUAAAAAUUUUUGUGUGGUCUAAAUCACAUCUCGUAACUCGAUUUUCACGUGAUGCGUGAGAUUUACAAAAAUUCAUUUUAAAAUUACGUAGUGUGCAAAGAAAGUUAUAUCGUAUGCAAUCAAAAUUAUGCACAGUAAAAAAUGCAUACAAUCGACAGAAACGAUUGCAGUUGCAAGCGUUUGGCCCCUUGUUCCGCUCGCUUACUCGACUUUUGACUUUUGUUUUAUUUGUUCCCCACCACCAUAUGUAGUUAUGUACUACGAAAGUACGAACCCUUUUCGAACAUUGAUGCAUGAUAGCUUCUUGAAAAAACUCUCCCACCCGGACCCAUGCACGAAGCCCUACUUGUACACUGGCUCAUGGCUCAUGAGCUCAUGGCUCAUGAGCUUCUUACUAUUUCAAGAAGUGCCAGAGCUUUUUAAAUUUUUUUAUGAAAAAAGUUUUUCUAAUAGGUGAUCAGUGAGCAUUUGUUAAUACACUUAAUAGAGUUGCAAAUGAGUCGAGUCGAAUUUUGAUCUAAUUGAACUGAAUUUCGCUUUUAUAUUACCAAUCUCAACAAAUUUUCAAUGUAAAUCUCGAACACUCCCAUUAGACAAAUCCAUCUCUUAAUUUAAUUACUGCAGAUACUUUUCUGAGCACACAGACCCCUUUUUCUUUAAUCACUGCUGAUAACGUUCAGGAGGUUGUAACCAAAUUCGCUAUUAACACAAUAUGCUUUUGUAAUUAGUAGGUUAUAUAUAUUUUGUCACAGUCUUCCUCUUUCUCAUACUUUCACCGAUUAUAAGCCAAUAUUUACAUGCAAGGUUCUUAAAACUUCCGUUUUUGUCUUUUCGGAACUUCCUACGGGUGCUUAAUGCUGUCAAUACGAUCUUUUCUAUGCUUGAGGUGGACAAAUUGACCAUUCAAGAUGGCGAAUAAGGGGCAGGAAAAACCAACUGUUCCAGAAAUGUUAAUGGCUAUGAUGGCCCAAAUUUUGAAAUCGAAAAGCAACCAUUUUAAAGAUUUGUAAGGUGGACAAAGACGGCUGUUAGGGGGCAGGAACAAGCAACCAUUCCAACAAUGUCAGUGGCUAAAACGGCCCAAAUUUUGCAGUACCAACUACCAAGGAGACAAUCGAAUGCUACUACGGUCCCUUCGAUAAAAUAGAAUGCUAUUAUGUCCAACGUGUUUUGCUGCUCGAAAUCAACUCACUCAAUAAAUCUAGAAAGGAAAAAAAAAAGAAGAAGCUGCAACAUAAGAUCGGACACAUCUUACAAUAACUUCCAUCAGAGAUCGGACACAUCUUACAAAAACUUGUUGUGAUGCUUUACAUCGCUAUCCUUGACUUGAAAAGAUCGGUAGUCAAAAGAAUGGUACCAAUGCAGACUUUAGAAGGUGUACCUUUAAAAAGGGGGAAAAUUCCAAAUUAAACAAAAGAAAGAGGGUCGAAAAGCCUAGGAGGGUUCAUUACAAGAAAAGAUAUAUCCUCAUUUGCUCGCACCAAUGGCCAACAACAACUGACAAAAUUCUCACUUGCCAUUAAGCUUAAAACAAAGCUUGUGAAAAGUGGAACUUGAUGGCGCCAAAUAUUUGUAGUAGCAAUUCCAAAGUACAUAUACUGAGUAUCAUUCAACUUCUCCAUCCUGCAGCAAAAUAAUAAAGACAAGGAGAUGAACACCAUUUUCUUGCAAAUUGUGCAAAUGCUACUUGGCCUCAGCAGAGCAUCCAAGCAACUGGCUUUAUUUUUCCUCAAAUAAGGCAUAACAUGCAUGCCAUACAAAACAAACGGGAAAACAAAAAGUUGUAUCAUCCCAGCUAAUAAUAUAGUAUGAAAGGCAACUAUCACCUACCUAUGUGCACGGUCAAAAAGAGUAAAGCAUGGCGACUUAAAAUUACCAGUAGAUGAACUUCUCGCUGUAUCACAUCACAGAAAUUUCAGAAGAAAUGCAAAGCUUUGAGUCAGCCCCACCCGAUAUCACACAAUUGCUUUUCCACCAGUCAGCACAUAACACCUAAAUCAUGAAGCUCAGAGGUUAAGAAACUCAUAUUAGUUUAGACAAUAUAACAAAAAAUAGCAGAAAAUUUAGAAAAGAGCACCUUAUCCUCAUGUGAAUCAAUAACAGCCAGAGGCCACUGCAACGCAUAAUAUAGAAUGAAGCAAUCAACAUCUGAAGAUAAUAUUACUGCAAGCACAUAAAUAAAAAGUAACAGAAAACUAAAGUUUUACCGCAGUUCUCAGAUCCCACAACAUAACUUUCCCGUCAUAAGAUGCCGAUACUAAAUGAUACCAUGAAUUAUCAUGCCACUUGCAGCCAGAUAUCCAGGAAGUGUGAGACGAGAACUGAAAGGUAGGGGCCAAAGUACCUAUAAAACAACCAAAUUGAGUAUCAGACCCAAUACUUGCCGCCAGCAGUACAAAGGGUUAGAUUCCAUGAGACCUCACAAGUACAAUUGUGCUUGUAUGUGGAUGUUUCUGUCUGAGUGAGUGAGUGAGAGAGAGAGAGAGAGAGAGACUGACCAGGUUUGCGAGGAUCCCAUAUUCGAAGAAUAGGGUCUGAACCACCAGCAGCAAUGAGGGAGGAACUUUCACCUCCAACAUCAAGACAGUUAAUAACUUUCCCACAGUACUGCAAAGAAUAAAUAUAGUUAUUAUCUACUUUCAGCAUCUGGAAAGAAAUUAAAAAUUUACAAAAUGAGCAAGUUCCUAAUUCUUCACAGAAGCAUCUCAAAAGAUUAUUCUAGCAAAACUAAUUGCUGAAGCAUGGCUUACGUCCAACAACACAUGAACAGCCAGUUACAAAAAUAGCUUGCAAAAAUUAAACACCGAGUGAAACCUAUUUCAGGGAACAUGGAGAUACAUGAACAGAACACAAUUCUGGCACUUAGAAUGCAUACCAAAACAUGACCAAACUUCAGUCUGCAGCAUAAGCAACCACAGUGCAAUCUAUAUCAUAUACAUAUAAUCUAGGCCAUUUGGAGUCUUAGCUAGGUGUAGGGAAAGUCAUUUGUCAUAUUGAGUGACGAGAUUAAAUACAACAUUAUCCUCCAUCUUGGCUUCUGUCUGACACACAUUAAUGUAAUAGCUAUUACUCUCAGAUUUAUAAUUCAAUUUUAUACCAAACAAGAGAACAAGAGUUGCAUAAUCUUCACUAUGUGUUUAAUCAGAGCAUGUAUCAAGUCAGAAACAGAUGCCAAUUCACCUCCAUUUAAAGAGGAAUAUAAGCAAAAUAGUACAAAGCCCAACAGUACAUGUUCCAGAAGAUGGGGAGAGAUUUAUCUGUUAAUCCGGGCAUCUGAAUUAUUCUGCAUCCAGAUUGAAUUCAAAUUCCUAAACAUAAACUAUUGGUCCAUGCUCAUACAGAUAAAGUUGGAUAGAAGACGAAUAGAAGUCGAUGACAUAUAAAAUAUGUGCAAAGUUGCAAAUGCAACUGAAAAGAAAGGAGUAAAUAUAUAUUUAAAAAAAACAAAAGCUGUUGAUUCUUCUUACCAUGUUCAUUGAAUCUUUGCCUGUCUCAACAUCCCAUCUUCUGAUUGAAUGAUCCCAUGAUGCUGAGUAUAAUGUUUCAUGCUCAGGCCAAACCACAGAAGAUACACAUUGUGUAUGUCCCACAAGUGUAGAAAUGGGCUCCCCCUGCAUGCCAUUGACAACUAAUUUCUACAGUCUGAAAGCUUUUCCGACCAAUAAAAUGACUUCCCAUAAGUUUCAAUCACUAUGGACGACAUGUUUUAACUACUAGCUUAUGGUGCAUAGUAUAAAACCAUAAAACUUGUAGCGAAGAAUAAACGGAUGGAGCUAUGGAAACUUCUCUUUAGCUUUGAUUUCAAUGAAAGCCUCUGAUAUCUAAGAAUUUGGUGGCUGACUAGAAAACCCACUUCAUUUAAAAAAAAAAUUUCACCAGUAAGUUGCAAAGUAUUAAACAUGCUAUACCUCUGACUUAGGUUCCUCAUCUUCGAUGUCCACUUUCCUCUUCUUAACUGACAUAAAAUCACCUCCAGAAUCGGAAUCAUUCGCUUGCCACACAUUGAUCCUACAAUCCCAGGAACCUGAGCAAAUCUGAGAAAUGAAUCAGACAACUGUUACAAAUACAAACUCAAUUCCAUAUGGGAGGUGUUGUGAUAAGGGCCUCUAGGGUAGAAAAUAAUACGUUAAUACCUUAGCACCGGAAGGCUCAGCAGCAAUGCAUUGCACAGAAGCAUUAUGUCCACGUAAAGUCUGAAACGAUUGAAUCUUCUUCAGUUGGCCCUGGAACUCCUCUAUAUUGACCUUCAUCAAACACAAUUACAAAUAAGGUAUUCAGCAGAAGCCCAAGUCAAACUUCAGAAGUAAUGGCACCUUCUAAUUACCUCAAACAACCUCAAUGUCAUAUCUUUAGAAGCAGUAGCUACUACUCUCCGACCAUCACUUCCUAGAAUUGGAAAUACAGAAAAGUAAAACAGAUGGAAGAGGGGAAAAAAAAGAAUCAGUAUACAUAAUUGAAAAAUCAGAUUGAGCAAACUUCAUUCCAAAACAAUAACUCCCAACAGUACCUAGAGGAUCGAGAAUACAUACAGAAGUAAUUGCACCAGUGUGUCCCUCCAGUAGAUGUGUACAUACACCAGCAGUUUUCCAUAUCCUGCAUGUGUUUAAAUCACCUUUGAUAAACCUAGCAGUAAAUUGCCAACUAAUCUGAAGGUAAGAACAAAAAAUUUCUUUGUUAAGAUUGUUACCUUCCAAACCCAUCAUAGCAUCCAGUCAAAAUGAACCUACAGGAACAUAAAGCCCAUGGAUGUACAGCAUAAGUUACAAGAAAAGAGUAUCAGACUGAACGCCACAACAUAUAUGAAUUAAUAGCUUGUCCUGUUUUACAUAGAGCUUUGGAAGAGGACAAAUAUGUGAUGGACCAACAUCCUUUACAUGCAUACCUAGGAUUUGAGCCAUCUACUGCACUAACCCAAUCAUCAUGCAGGGAAGGAUCCUCUUUUUUUCUUGGGGCCACAGCUUUAAUGUACUCAAUUUCCAGAAUCUUCUCCUGUAAUGUGUCAAAGUGUGAAGUCAAAAGCAAGAACAUAUGAAGGUGCAAAGCAUCUCAUAGCAAGCUCGCUGCAAAAUUCUCCUGUCAUUUGAUUUAUAUCCUUUGCUACAGCAAUCUCGCAUAAAUUUUAGAAAUUCUUUAGAUGCCAAGAAGAUUGCUGUCAUGUGUUUGCGAAAUCAUCAUAUUCAGGAAGAAUCUUACAGCAGAUAUUCCCUUGGCAAGAAGAAAUUCUUCGAGGGACAUCCGGACCAGCUCUCCAUCAAUGAGAAAAUCGAAAGCUUCAAUUUUCCAAUCAGCAUUUCCUGGGAAACAAUUGGCCUAUAAGCUUAGACACAUUUAUAAUAAAUGCUUGCAAAGAGAAAACUGUUGUAUCAGUCUCCCACUGCACAAAAACUACCUGUCAAACAUUUAUUAGGCUUGGCCAAGAAGGGCCAUAACAUUUCAAAAAAUUUUAAAAAAAUCUUCAAAACAACCCUGUUCGUCUUAGCAAAUCCCAGAAAAGUUUUUUGUCGACCGCAUAGCUCAAAACACGAUCAAGUGACGCAAUUAAUUAACAAAGGAACAACCAUGAAAACAAAAGGAAGACCAUUCAAAGAAUUAGAACUAAUCAAAAGCUUACAUAAAUAUACAAAAUUGGAUGAUAUGGGCAAAAGAAAAAAGUACCAGCUUUGAGGAGGUUAUUGACGAGAGCAGAGAGACCGAAACGAGUGAGGUUGGUAGGGAUGGCAAUAGAAGUAGGAGGGGCUUUGUAUGGAGGCUUUAGCUUCGUCACGAACCGCACCCGAAUGCGCCUUGAAGCUUCUUCUGCAUCUCCAUCUAUAUCCAUAUCUUACUGGACGGAGAUCGGAGAUGUAUGGCAGAAUGAGAGAUAGGACGAAGAACGGGAGACCGGGGAGCUUGCUGGAUACCGUAUUCCUAAGAAGUUGAGGGUAGCAACAAACGGAGCGGGAGUUCAAACUCUCGGGUUCGGAGGGGCAUUCGGUGGGGAAAGUCUAGGGUUUUUAACUAUAGUAGAGCUUUUUAUUUUUUUGGUACUAACUCUAGUAGAGUUUCAACUUCAGAUAUUCGGUCCUCGUGCGUUUUCUCGUUUAUUUAAUGGGAUAAUUUUUUGAGGUUUUUCGUAGUGUCACUCAACUCUCACUAGUUUAACAGUACCAAAAGUCCUUGUCUUUUUUUUUUUUGUUGUCCGACGGAGGGGGUAUCUGGAGCAUCGGAUAAAUCGGACUCGACUAAUCCCUCACCGGCCCGGGAGGAGAGGCCCCAUCCCCCCGAACACGAUAACCAUGGGACUCGAACCCUGGCGGGCACUGGACAACAGCUUAGGAGGCAUGCUGUGACCAAUCGAGUUGCCCAUAAGGGGCACCAAAAGUCCUUGUCAAAUGACACAAAUUGAUAACAUUAUCCCUACACUCUUAAUAAAUAUUUAAUCAAAAAGCUAAAAAAAAAAAAAGAAACUUUUAAACCAAAAAAUGUAGAUGAAAAAAUUUUAAAAAAUACUUCUCCAUAUUAAGAUGGUGGUGGGACAGCAAAUGAUGUGAGUAAAUUAAACCUGGUGAAAGUCAACCAUUUAGAACGAUUUUAGUGAGUAAUUAACACCUUACAAAUUUUGUGGGAUAGUAAUAAAAAAGUCAAGAAAAUUUUUUAGAAAAUAUGUUUUAAUACAUGAUGUAAUUUAAAUUGUACUAAAAAUUUAAAUAAUUACUUCAUACAUGUAGUUUGUAAUAUAAAUCCUACUUAUAGAAAUAAACUCUUAUAAAUAAGUCACAAUUAAAAACAUUAAUAAAAAAAAUGAUCCAAUGAUCAAAUAUAUAUCUAAGAAUAUCCUAUGUUUUUUUACCUUUUAACUUUAUUUUAUUUUUUAUUGUUGUUAUGAGUUUCAUAAGAAGGAUAACAUAAGAGUAGUAUUAGAACAAAAAUUUUAUCUUCCUUGCAUUUCCUCCGAAGAGCCUAAAACAUUAAAAAAAAAUGUCAAUUUAAGAGAGGUAGGUAAAAUUUUGAAAACUUAGAGGGCACCAAGUGAUAUUAGGAUGAACGUGAGGGGAAGUUUCUAAAAUUAUCCCUUAUUUAAAUUUCGUUUUCCUGCUCGCAAUACUAAGUUAAAUAGAAAAUGCUUUUUAUUCUUUUCCCGUUUUGGAAUUAAUCAUUGUCAGUAUAGAAUUUUUGUUAUAUCUUUUACCGUUUCACAAUUAAUCUUUGUCAGUAUAUAAAUUUUAUGCAUAACACAUAACCUUCCUCUCAUGUCUCUGCAAAACGAUAAAUUCAAUCAAGGAAAGCUACUCCAAGAAUUAAAAUUAUGGAAUUAAAGCUCCAUCCUGUCUGCAUAUAUAUAUAUAUAUAUAUAUAUAUAUAUAUAUAUAUAUACACAUGGACUAAGCUGGUAAUAAAUAGUACCGAUGGUCUGAUCAUGGUUUUUAAUCUGUUUUUACUUCAAGGAGACGGCAAAUCCAGAAUCAGACAAGCCGCCAUUGCAGUUGUAGUAGGAGUAUUACUUACAUGAAGCCUGUGUCUAGACAGCUAGUCUAAAUAAAAUGCUCCUAGGCAUUUUCUACUCUCAGAACAUUGAACAAGAACGUGUUUUUCCCAUCAACGGAGUUCAGGACAAUUGGCUCCUGCUCCUCUUUAGGUGCCCCAGGCCGCGCAAAAUCCGCGAUUAACCUCGCAACUAUCUCAGGCUUCUCAACAUGCGGGAGAUGACCACAAUCAGGUAUUUGGUGGACGCUUGCAUCUGGCAAUUCACCAUGCAGUCUCUGCAUUUUAUGCCACAUGUGACAUCAACAUAGUGUCAGUAGGAGUUGAAAACAAGUCAGAGGAUGACAACAUCUAUUGUUUUUUUUUUUUCUUUUCUAUAGGAGGGAGAGGUUGUAUAUGAGAUCUUGUGCUAACAAAUUGUGAGGGGCAACAUGAGGCUCCGCCACUGCACAAAAUACGUCUUUUAGUUUUAUGCAACUUUUGGAGGAGUUGAAAAGAAGCGCCCAUGCAUAUCAUCCACUGGUCAAACUGGCCAGUUUCUUGAAAGCAAUUUCCAUUUGAAUCCUAAUUUGAGUUAGCGCUUAGCCACAAAAAGAACUUUAAAUGUAAGCUCAUAUAGAUGGAAACUGACCAUUGCAAGCUUACUGUUGACAAUGUUAUCACACUCUCCCCAGAUGACAAGAACUUUCUUGUUCACCUGCAAAAAGUGAAUGCUCACUUUUUUAUGCAUUGUAAUUCAUUCAGUCAAUGAUGAUGAAGUGAACAAGUAGAUUUUAAGAUUUUGGCCUUUAAUAUGGUGGUCACAUGUGAAAUGUAGCGGACAGGAUGACAAGAUGGCUGUACUCAUCAGUCACACACGUACCCAAAACACCAUGGGGUUUUGGAAGCAUAAAGGUACGAACAUAGAAUGUCAUUAAGUGAAAUGAAUCAAUAACGAAAUUUCUGCUUGAUAAUGCAGAUGAAUGUGGAAAGGUAUUAUACCUGCUUUAUUUGAUUAACAACAUUAUAGCCACCACUAAGCAUGUAAUUCACAGUAGCAUCUUCCCACCAAGGCAAAAGACAGUGUAGGCGGCCGACCUGCUUGGCAAGCAGAAUGCAUCUGUUAAAUAUCACUCAAGGCUUGCAUCUGCUGAAAGCAAGGAAACGUGUAACCUGCAGAAAAUCACACUCACAUUGGCCCAGUCAAAGCAUUUUGAUAAGGGUAUGUCAUCAAAAGCUAGCAAAUUGGCAUACAGCCGCAGUGGGAGGCUCUUCAACAAAGAGACCUGAAAAAUGUCUACGUGAGAAGCAAACGUGAUAAAUAAGAUGAUGAUAUAAACAGUACCUCAUUUCUCCAAGAACAUCAACUAAGGCCCCGUUUGUCAAGUGAGUUUUUUGAGUAUUUGUCUAAAAUUUUACUCUAGCUUACUGUAGAAAUUUUUUAAAAAACUUUUGAAGUGUGUAAAUUUUUAAAUAUUUUAAAGUGUAUAGUUUAAAAACUUUGAGAAGUUUUUUGAGAUUACUGUAACUAAAGUUUUUAAAAACUCGUAACAGACAAACUGGACAAAAAACUCAAGUGCCAAACAGGAUGGCUACGUGAGGCCCUAAGAAUUAGAGGUCCUGAGUUCAAAUUCCUCUGCCCCCUCCCCCCUACUUAACUCCCGCCUCUCUCCUGCUGGAAAAAUUUUUAAAAAAAAAAAAGAUUAUCCUAGUUACAAUCUUUCAUGCUGCUCUAUAAAAAUCUUACUUUAUCAUGUUUUAAGAGCUUCUUCAUUUAAAGCAAAGAUAGAACUGCACUGAGUCCCUAAGUCCAUCCUGACAAUACUAAUCAUUGAUGUGUGUUUAUCUGGUUGGACUAAAUCUUGUUCAUCAAAAUGUCUUAAGAAGUAAAAUGAGAUAAUGGAUUCAUUGAUCCAACGAAGAAUGAAUUCAAAGAUAAGAUAUUCAUCAGUUUGUAGACAUUCCUUGUCAUUUCAGUUGAAAGAAAAUAUGUGCCAAAAUAGUCCUCUUUAAAUUGCUAUCCUACAAAAGACUGGAAAAAAAAGAUUGAAAUACAAAUUCCCUAAGUUCAUCCUCUUGGACAAUAGUAAUUACUGAUGCGUGUUUGUCUGGUAGGACCGACUUUUGUUCAUCAAAAUGUCAUAAGAAGUAAAAUGAGAAAAUGGAAUCAUUGAUCCAAUGAAGAACGAGUCCAGAGGUAUGAUGUUCAUCAGUUUGUAGACAUUCCUGUCAUUUGAAACAGAACAUGUGCCAAAGUAGUCCUCUUUAAAUUGCUAUCCCACAAAAGACUGGAUAAAAAAGAGUUUAAAUUUUAAGAAAUAUAGCUGUCUUUGGAAGGAUAAAAGAUAAUAAAUCCCAAAUGCCUCAAGCCACAUGAAAAUGCAAACAUAUUUUUUGUUACUAAAUUCAGAAUGAUAUUCCUUUCCUGUGAUGAAGGGCACUGCUGAUGCUUAACUCCUUGGAUAUAUGGACCCUAGAAAAAAAAAGAAAAAAAAAUUACCCCAGCAUAUGCUAAAAAUUUUGGUAGCUUUGUCAGAAGCCCUGUGCCUUCAGCAUAAACACUUGCAUUGAUAAGAAUCAGCUUAUCAACCUGCAAACAACAGAAUAGAUAGCAUAAGAUUGAUGAAUAGCACAAUUGAUGAUACCGACAGAAGAAGCAGACUGCAGAGUUAUCUUGUAAAUUUGGAAGAACAAGGAUUUUACAGAUCUGUUGUGAUUGUAUAUCUAUACACUUUCUUUCAUCUCAAUCCACUGUCUUUGUCAAUGGACAAGUCAACAGUAAUUUUUAACUUUAUCAUUUCAUGAAUUAUGCUGAACAAAGAGCGAAAAUCACUUCUUUAAGUGACACCUUCACACAGAUGACACAAAAACAAUCUCUUGUAUGUUCUAGUAGACAAAUCUAAUUUGUACUACAUCUAGCAGGAUAAGGCUUCAAAUGCUUCCAUGUUUCUAGUUUUUUUUUUAUUUUUUCAUUGGAGGUUAUUGGACUCCGUGGUAGAAGAAAAUCUACACAAAAUGCAAAUCCCCCAUGCAACUGGCACAUUUUUUCAGUAGCUUUCCGUAAUUCUAACAGAUAGCCUAUCAAUAGGAUACUGCUUGCAAAGCGAUUCUAACCGAACUUCCCUCACACGAGAUGUAUAAACUUUAAUAUCUGUGUUAACCCCUAUCGAUUUUCUUUGUAGAUCUGGUAAUGUAUGAAUGUAUGGGUUGGCCUUAUAGCCAUUCUUGGACGUACAUGAUUUCUAACUUAUUGUUCCUCUCACAGUCUUCACAAACACACACCAAAACCCCAACAGAUAAAUGUUUGAAAUUGGUCAAGAAAUUUCAUUAAAAGAUCAUGCUUUGUUUAUCUCUUUUUUUUUUAUAGGCACAUUAGUAAUUUAUUUCAUGGGAAGAUUGAAUACGUCAGAAACUUGAGUGAUUACAAGUCAAAUUCAAGAAAGCUCAGUUGAAGGAAAAUGCUUACAGCUUCUGGAAAGUUGAUGGCAAAGUCAAUCGCAACUGCAGCACCAAGGCUUGGUCCGACUAGUAUCAUUGGUCUUUUGAUGUGAGUCCUCCAAAGCUAUAAUAGAAGCUCACAAAGUUAGAUCAAUAUUUAAGAACUAACAAGAACUGCCAAUUAGGUUAUUCAGUGUGAUGGAUGGUAAUAAUCAACCAGCAUCCAGGAUGUUAUCUUUCCAAAGCACCUGGUAAAGAUGAUAUCUUUUGGAUGCCGCAUCGCAGGGAGGAAGUCUUUCUACACCAAUUGAGGACUAAUCAAGAUCAUCAACAACUAGAAGCAUAACACAAAUCAAAAGUACCUGAACUAAGAGAAAAAUUAUAUUCUCUCUCUCCUCUGAAAUUAGAGUAAGGAUUUGAAGAUGAACCUAGGUCAGAGAAACCCCAACCAAGAAUGUCUAUUGCCCAAGUCUCCAGAGCAGCGUCCUCGAGUAAUGGGUACGUGCAUCUCCAUUCUAAACAAGAACUACAAAAUCGAAUGCACACCGGCCAAACAAGGGGGCAUAAAGAAAAAGAGACGAAAAGGCUUUGAAAUAAAGGGAAAUGAGAAUAGGCCAAAAUAAAAGGGUAGAAAACCUGUCGAAACAAUGGAGAAGGACCACUGGAUCGGUAUCAUGUUGAAACCUUGGCUUCACACAGCUGCUCAUUAUACAACUGUCGGAAAAUCCAACCUGAUUUGAGAGAGGCAGGAUAUAAGGAAACAAAAACAGGGCAAAGAUAAGUUGCAUGGCCAACAAUCAGACAUGAGAAAUUCUGGAGACAUCUUGUGCCCACAACUGCUCAUUUUACUCGCUGGAGAAUAUAACCAUCACAAUAGAAGUGAAAUGUUUUUUCAAGUCAAAAGGACACACACACAUCAUGAUUCUUCACUUUAAUCUAAUCGGCUGUAUGAUGCGCAUAUUAUGAUUCUGGGCCUCAGCUCUCGAGGAAUACUUUAAACAGAACCUUGCUGGAUGAACACGAGAUGGUCAUCAUUUAUCCCCUUUAGACUUAAAUUUAGAAUGCACAGCAAUGGAUGCAACACGCGAGUGACAGAAAGUUGUCAUUUUGACUUGAAACACCAGUAAGAGACUUGAUUUCGUUUGAGCAAAUGCUGAGGCUAUUAAGAAUGCAGUAUAUGUUCCAUCUCAACAUCCGUGCGUAUAAUAAAUUAAGUAAAAAUUUUUUAUCCCAGACUACAAAAAGAAAAGAAGGAAUGAAAUAGAGCAAAGCUUGUCGAUUUCAAAAUUCAGAGCAAGAGGACUCAAGAGUGAAGGCCCUCAUACAAGGCUUUGAUCUUUUAAAACCACACACCGAAAAAAAGGGGGGCAACAUUGUGCUACAACAUGCAGAAGAAUAAAAAGCUUGUAUAUAUACCUUCACAGGAAGCCUUUGAAUCCUCUGAGCCAAAGUUCGUGCAAAUGGAUCCUUGAUUUCUUUAACUUCCUUCGGUAAAAACGAGGGAAACUCGCCAUCAACGGCAAUAACAUUUGUACCCAAUCUUCCUCCGCAAUUAACCCCCAAAUGCAUCGAAUGCUUCGAACCGAAUCGUUCUCUUGCUCCUAGAAUCAAGGAUGGUCUCAAUGAAAAAGCUACCAUUUUUUCCAAUCAGAAACCAGCAAUGCCGUGCAAUUCAAUUAAGCAAAUAUCGAAAGAAUAAGCUGCUAAAUCAUGUAGUACUAAUAUAUCAGUACUCAGAAUGGUUUGAGUUGCACAUGCAUUACUCUGUAUCAGGGCCGGUGUGGAGGCGGAUGGUGGGAGAAGUUGUGAACUCGAAGUAGUGAAUGAGAAUACCAAGGUGGUAAUGGGCAGCAGUACAGGCAUGCAAAAUGUGCCUACUCUACCAUUUCUGAUCAAAAGUUCAAAACUGCCCACCUCUCUCCCUCUCCCUCUCCCUCUCUCUCUCUGUGGACGGUGCAUGUGAGCCCCCCGGCUACUGUGUAGCAGUAGCCCCACGUCAGUUUGAAGAAAGUAAAAGAUAUCUGUUUGGAUUGGGAGUUUUUCAAAAAUUAAUUUUUUAAAUAUAAUAAAUUUUUUUAAAAAUAUUCUAAAAAGUAAUUUAAAAAUUAGUUUAAAUUUUUUUAAAAUUCUAAAAAAUAUUUCAAAUUAUAUUUUAGAAACUCUUCUACUCUUAAAUAUCUCAAAAUAUUUUCUGAAAAUAUAAUUUAAAAACACUACUAUAACAAAAAAUUUUAAAAAAUAUCUCAAAAAACAGCUAAUUCAAACGGAGCAACGUUGAACAGCUUGGGCCAUGGACUAUUAAAUAGUUUGGAUUAACUAUUCUAAACCUAUGAUUUCAAUUCAAAAGUGGGCCUUCCCGUUGGGUAGUGUAGUGUCCGUUCGUACGAGAUGCCUGGACCUGACCUAGGUUAGUAUAAACUUCAUAGGUGGUUACGAAUUUUGACAGGGCGCAAAAUCCAUUCCACUUCCUUUAAGGCUCCAACAAACUACUUCUCCGGAAAGGGACAAAGUAAAUGACAAAAUAGUCCAACAAACCAUUUGUCAGUUUCAGAAUGAAUGAAAAACGCAGCACGGCAGCCGCCCUGCCCCACUCGAAAAGGGGGCAAAAUAAAUGACAAAAAAGAGAGAAAGACAGAACGCUAGAAGGAGGGCUUGAACCUCCGACCUUGUGGUUAACAGCCACACGCUCUAACCAACUGAGCUAUUCCAGCUUUGGUUUUCUUUGUAUCUUUUAUUUAAUACCAAACGUGCCCACACUAAUACUUUCAAUAUUCAAAUGCACGAUGAAUUGUGUUGAUUCAUUGUGCAUAAUAUAUAGAUUAGUUUAUCAAAGAAAUCACUUUAGCAUAAACAAAUAGGAACAACAAAAAUCGAAAACCAAUAUGUAGGAGCAGUUAAUAGUAGGCCUUAUUUGGCAGACAAGUUUUUUGCCAAAUUUGUUUGCUAUGAGUUUUUUAAAAACUUUAGUUAUAGUAAUCUCAAAAAACUUUUCAAAGUCUUUAAAUUAUACACUUCAAAAUAUUCAAAAAAACCACACUUCAAAAUUUUUUUUAAAAACUUCUAUAGUAAGCUACAGUAUAGUUUUAGACAAACACCCAAAAAACUCACUUGACAAACGGAGCCGUAGUUCAAACUGAUCAUGAGUUACAGAGAUAGCCUAUACCGAUUUUGCCCCUAAAUUUUAAUACCUAUAAAUCAUUAAAGAACACAUAUUUAGAUUUAUUAAAAUGACAUUAGUUUUUAAAAUUAAACUGGAUCUCAUGCUUUAUGAAUAGUAAGAUAAGAUGUGCAUUAAAAGUGCUUAUGAAAUUAAAACUCUCUUUUGGCUUUAAAAAGUAUGUAACACCUCUAAAUUCUAAUAUUAUCCGUAACAUAAUUUCUCUUUGUUAGUGUGUAGCACGUAUUCUAGUUAGUAAACAUUGGUAUUAUACCUAUAUAAUUUGUGUUUAUAUGUUUUGUACCUAUACAAUUUUUAAAUUUUCAAUCUUGUCCUAUAAUUGCACCCCUUAAAAAUUUUAAAAUUUCCUAUGUUUUUUUACUUUGCCGCUUAAGUUCUUAGAGUGUACGAUUAACAUUUAGUUUAUACAUGAUGGCAACUUCGAAAUGAAACCAAGUACUAGUACUAGUUAAAAACAAUAAUUUUAAAACUUUUGGCACAUAAAAAAAAAUGUUACAUAAAAGUUUUUUGUUGUCCAUUGUACAAAAUUUUAAUUUUCAUUUAGUUUUUUCUAGUGAUUAUUGUUUUAAAACUCUACACAAUUCUAACAAAAUUCACUCGACCAUCAUAUUGGUUAUCUUUUUUUUUUGGUAAGAAAUAAGUUACUACAUUUCAAAGAGUUAGUGCAAAAAAUCGAGUUUAAGAUCUCGAAUUUAUAAAACAGGGCAGACAGAAUGCCCAACAAUCAUUCUAUACUAGUUUUGUGAUGGUUGCAGGCUGAUUAUUGAACACUUUGAGACCUUCUUCCUUUGUUUCUACACUCAAUUUUGCUAAAAGCUCUGCACAGCAAUUCGCUUCCCUGAAGACAUGCUUAGUGGUAGUUGUAAGGAAGCUCCUCAUGAUAUUCAUGCAAUCAUUAAUCAUAGAAGAGUAGGUGUAAAAAUCAUUAGUGUUUGUAGAGAUCAUAUGAACAAUCACAGAAGCAUCCAUCUCAAUAUGAUGGCGUUGAAUACUAAGAGAUUUUGCCAACAGAAGCCCAUCAAUUAAUCCCCAUAAUUCCGCAAUUGUAUUUGAAGUUCACCCCAGAUUUCUACUAAACUCACAAAUCCAUUUUCCAAGAUGAUUGCAUAUGAUUCCUCAGGUCCCUGCUGGUCCCGGGUUUCCAAGUAAAGCACCAUCAGUGUUGAGUUUGAAGGUACAGGGAGGGGGUGGUUCCUAAGGAAUCAUGACAAGAUCCUUGCGUCUGAUGGUUUUACUACUUGUGGGUCCUAUGCUUAGGAAUUCUGCUGCUUUUGCAGUUCUUGUUGAAGAAAGGUUUGGUGGACAGGAUUGAGAUUCAAACAGAGCCAUAUUCCUAUUCUUCCAUAAAAUCCAGCGGCCAAAUGCUGCGAUGGUUCCUCAUGUUACGCCAUAGUGGGGUGAUAAGUCUGUCAUGUUGCAUAUUUUCUUUAGCCAGGAGCAAAGAUUUUGUCAUGCAAAAGGCUAAAAAUUCCAAGGUACAACUAUUUUUCUCCAUAAACUUUUGGCUUUAGAACAGAAAAUCAGGACUUGAUCGGUGUCUUCUCUAUUAUUAUUGCAUAGAGGACAACGAUCUUCUUGGACAACGGAUUUUCGGAGUAGAUUGCUCUUGGUUGGGAGCUUGUUUUGGCAUGCAAUCCAUAGGAAAUAUCUUACUCGAUUACUAGCCAUGAUCUUCCAUGUCCAAUCCCUCGCUGAUCUUUCAACAAGGGUGUUAUUUGAGUAGAAACUCUACUGCUGAUUUAAGGCUAAACUGGCCAUUUGGGGUAAGGUGCCACUUCAGGCAAUCAUCCACAGGAGAGGUAAUUUAUCUAGGAAUGGCCUUAAUAACUGUGAGAACAAAAUCAGGGAGUAUUAUGGAGAUUAUGUUGAGGUUCCAAAACUCUCUUUCUCCAAACAUUUGGGAAAUCACCAUAUUUUCUUCCCCUUCAAUAAGUGGGCCAGCAAUUGGUUAUCUAAGAUGUUGAACAAAAAAUUUUGCCUCAAACUUUAUAAAUUGUACACCAAAGUAAUUAUCCCUCACUAACCUUGGUUUUCCUUUUAAGAUAAACAAAAAGGCAAUCCUAAUUUAGAAAUUAUACGAUAACUCGUAAAACGUUUAUCCAUAAAAAAAAUAUAUAGAAGAUACUACUAUAUGAAGAAACACAAAUCUUUUAUUUCUUUUGGUCUAAGAUGGCCUCGAGAUUAGUCUCAACACUCCUAAAUAACUUUGUUUUUCUUUUAUGAAAACAACUUAGUGAAAGAGGUUAAAUUUGAAAUAUUGAGAAUAUCCUUUAUUUAUCAUAUAAUUUAGAAAAGGCAACUUGGCCCAUAAAGUAGAAUCAUCAUAAUAGUGGGGCAUGUGUACAAUUAUUCUAAACUUGUGUUGUUUUUCAACGUGCUGAGGGGAAAAUUUUUACAUUAAUAUAUCUCGUGAAAACAGAGCAGAACUGAUUUACCUGCCACGUGUAAGUCACGUGACUUAGAAAAGGAGCGGACGAUUUGCAAUCCCGUCGUUGCAAUCUGUAAUGGGCAGUUCAAGUUCUUGUCAAUCUCGGCCGGUUUACGUCGUAACAAUCGGUAGUCCAAAAGUAGUAUAGACCCAAAACGCACGGACAGAUACGUCUAUAUGCUCAGAGGUAGUUUAACAGCUCGAAAUUCUGUUGAUUCGGACGACGAUAUUCACGUCAAGAAGAACAAGGAAGAAGAACCAGUUGCAACAUAGGAAUCGGCGUCGAUGACAGAGGACAAUUUCCCUAGGGUUUCCUCUUCUGAAUCUAUCGAUUCUUCAUCGACGAAGCAGAGGUGCUUUAAUGUUGUCUAUCCUGAUUAAGAAUCCCUAAUUUCCUACUUUAUGAACGCGGCUUUUGGAUACUCGUUGAAUUAUGUUCGGCAUAUGUUUACUAGUCCAUUAAUCUGCAAGUUCUUAAAAGGUCGAUCUAAGCGUUUAUGAAUUUUAGAGGGAGAAAAUAUUUCAGUGCUACUGGAGAAGGAGGUUUAUACAAUGAAAUAGGCAAAUAAAUUGUGUUAUUCACUUAUUAGUUGUUAUUUUGGACUUCGCGGGAAUUUAUGUUGGAAUUUUUUUUUUGAUUUAUUGGUGUCUAAUUAUUUUUGUUUUCCAAAUUUGGCAUUCUGGAUGCAGAGUGUUACAGUAAUUAAGAUAUUACUGACACGGCAAUUAUAAUUUCCAGACUAGGAUGACUUGCUGAUACAGGAAUUUAUUGUUGGCUUUAGUUAAUGCUGAGAGAAACAUGCUAGUAUUUUCUUGCUUCUUAAUGAUGUUGAUAUGUGCAACUGAAGAAUUGUUUCUUAAACUUACCUCCACCUGCUGAAUUUUUUUUUUUAAAAAAGGAAAAAAGUAUUGAAAAGAGAGAAAAAUGAAACUUUGAACGAAAAGAAAAAAGAAAAGAGAAAGAAAAUUUAGGGAAGAAAGUGCAAAUCUGUAUGAAUCCUGCACAGCUUCAUCAACUUAUGGCUAUGGUUGUGUGCAUGAGCUUCAAGCAGUUUUUGCCAUGGCAGUGAUAGUAUGUAUUUAUUUAUUUAUUUAUUUAUUUUUGCAGAAAAAAGAGGAAGUGGGAUCAGCCUGCCGAGUCAUUGGGUUCAUCUGGAGUAGCAGCUCCUGGUCUUCUUCUAUUACCAAACUUGGGAUCCCUUCCUGGAGUUGCAUUACCUGGUGUAGCUAUAAUUCCUAGUGCUUCUUUCUCAAAUUCUCUUACUGCUAGUGCCGCAACUAUUCUGCCUGUUAUCCAGUUGCCUUUACAGCAACAUGCGACUGCCAUUGCCCAAAAAAUAAAUCAGGUAAGAAAAUAAAAUGGUUAAGUAGAUACUUUUCCCCUUCCUCAUCAUGGCUGUGUUUUCCUAUUGAUAACCUGUUUUGUGUUAAGCUUAUCCUUAGACAUUAAGUGGGAAUAAGCUAUUGUAUACAAUUCCACUGGUGUUAAGUGGCCAUCAAAUUUCAUUUAUUCAACUUUCUACAGAAAAUAGGAUUAGUUUUGAGUCACUGAUUCCCCUACGCUCUGUUGUGCUAAAUAGAAAUCGUCUAUGUAUUGAAAGAUAUUUAUGUAAUAUUAACUAACAUUUCAAAGAAAUUGUUUUAAUACCUUUCACGAGCAAUCAUCACUUCAAACACUACUGGUAUGAGAACGUAUUGGUGGUGGAAGUAGAGGUAGUGAAAAGUUGGUGUGUCAUAAUUUUUUUUGUGUUUUGAUAAAGUAGAAGGAGAGUUUAUUUGCUGUUUGAAUUAUAAAGACAAGACAAUGUUCUGUUCCUGUCACAAAUUUUUUAUUGUUAGGAAGACAUUUAGUAAUCAUAGUGUCCUAAUUGUUUUAUCUAGAGCCAGAGUGUUUCUUUAAACAUAUUUGACAUGUAGUCCAAUUGUGCUAAUGUAGCCUAAGAUCCAAGAUGAACUGAUAGCACGAGAAAUUGUUAUCAAUGAUGCUGAUUCUACUGUGCGCUAUAAGCUCACAAAACGCCAGACCCAGGAAGAGGUAAUUUUUUAUGGCUCCAAAUGUUAAUUUUUUGAUCAAACGGUUUGAGAAACAUGAGAUACUUUUUGUUUAUUGUAGACAAGUGUUUGAGACUUACGCACACUUUGUCCUCCUACAGAUUCAGAAGUAUACGGGUGCCAUAGUAAUUACUAGGUUAGUAGUCUUCUAUAGCUUUCUUGAGGACCUUUUUGUUUUUCUGUUUGUUUCAUGCGUGAGGUGAUUGUUAAAUGAACUCUGCAGAGGCAAAUACAGACCCCCAAAUGCACCUGCUGAUGGUGAAAAACCGUUGUAUCUUCACAUAUCUGCUGCGGCUCAUGUGAGUGUUCACACUGUAAUUCCAUUUUACAACUUGUAAAUUCCCUUUGGACUAUGAAUAAUCAAUUUCCAGUUUGCUUAGCGUUUGCAUAACAAAAUUUUUGUCCCAGUGGAGAUGGUACUAUGUUGACUCUUCGUAGUCAAUAGUUGGCAGAUGGGAAAUGAGUUGAUUGUUUUACAAAAUAUAUAAGAAUUCAAGUGUUCCCAUGACCAACUCUUCCAAGCUCCUUAAAGUUGGCUUAAUGCGUACUAGGCCAAAAGUUAUUUCAGUGGUAGAGAUGGUACCUUCAUUAGUCAAUUGUCAUCAGUAUUUCUUGAUAAGAUUACUUAUUUGUGUGUAACAACUACUGUUAAAAAACCGCUAUCAUGUUAUUGGGUUCCAUUUGACAAAAGAUUGUGUUGUCUAAGGAGUUUUUUCUAAUUUACUUUGGUACGCUGAAUGUACUUAUUGGUUAAUAUCUAUGUAUUCUUUUGCUUACUUCAGUUGGAAACAACAGCAGAACGGAUCAAGGCAGUUGAUCAUGCAGCUGCAAUGGUGGAAGAAAUGCUCAAGCAUGGGUCUUUCAGCAAUACCAUGAAUGUAACAAUUCAUUUUUUUUUUUUUUUUGCAAAUUUGUUCAAAGAUGCAGUACCAAGAAAUUUGAUAAGCACAGUUGUCUUUUUUUGAUCAGGUCAAUCCCUCACUGAGUGCUUGUGUGUUUUUGGGCUUUGAAGCAGAUCCCUCUCUGAAUGUUGCUGCUCGAAUUCGUGGACCAAAUGUGAGUUUUUAGUUCAUUCUCUUUUUUGUCUCCUUGUUAUUUUCUCCUUCUCCUGCUCUUAUCUUCUUUGAAGGUGGUUGGAAGUUUUUCCUUUCUUUCCUUGUAUUUUUUUCUGUUUCUUUGCUGCAUGGCGAAAUAUUCUGAUCUUUCAAGCUCUCUCUGACAUCUCCAAACAAUUGGGAGAGAUUCUUUUUGUUGCUGCUUGUUGGCUUUUUUAUGUGCAGGACCAGUAUGUAAAUCACAUCAUGAAUGAAACGGGAGCAACAGUUUUGCUAAGAGGACGCGGUUCAGGAUAUUGUGAUAGUGUACAGGAUGAUGGUAGUCGUUUGCUUUAACCAGUUUUAUUUUUUGAUCUGUUAGGUUCUCUCUUCAUUCUUAACGUGCCUUUGAGUCCACAGCUUUUACUCUCUUUGUAGAAGGUCAACAACCAUUGCAUUUACUUUUGUCGAGCAGUAAUGCAAAAAGUCUUGAACGUGCUAAGCUCCUUGCUGAGAACCUUUUGGACACAAUCAGUGCAGAGUUUGGUGCAUCAAGGUAAAUGGGCAUAAUUAGCUUUCUGUAAUUAUUUAUUGAAAACAGAAAAAGCAGAACUGAGAUCACUAAAAGGAGAGCUGCAUGCUUGGGUUGGACGGUAAAGCAGUUUGAACCCUUUAUCUGUUUAUCCUUUUUGUCUCGUCUUAAAUUGGAAAUGACAAACAUGGUUCUUGUGUUAUUUUAUCAAUCUUUAAAUGGAAACCAGAAGCCUCUCAUACCUUAUAAGACAUUCUAUUCUGCACUGUUAUUUGACAAUAUUUGUUAUUGUUUACUCUUGUGAUGUACUGAGCUUGUUAGUGCUUCUUAAAGAGAAUAACUUGUUGCUGUGCUGUAUUUCAAAGGGUUUCCUCAUCUAAAGUUUAUGGUGCUGUUCCUCCGCCACCACAGUUACUUGCUGGAGUUCAGAGUUCCUUGGAUGAGUCAAACCCAAGUGUCCCACCGUCUGCCAGCUUGACUGCAUCAGCUGCACGGUCUAUUCCAUCAACAGUUUCAUCAAUCUCAAUUCCUGGUGCAUCUAGUAUUGCUUCUCAAGGGCCUGUACCACAUGCUGGAUGCUCAAAUCCUGCAUCUGGGCUGUCUCAUGCGAUUACUGGUGGUUAUUCCCUGUCUUCAUUGACUGGUGGGACGAGCUAUAAUGGUUAUGAUGGAAUAUAUCCCCAAGCAACACCUUUGCAACAAGUUGCCUUGGCCCUUAGGCAGUCAACUUCACCAGUUACUACUUUAGUAGCUCCUGCUGUUACAACUGCGAGCACAGCAUCGUACACAAGUACGUGCUCCUCAUCAGAGAAGGAUAAGCGUUCUUCACAGAAAAGAAAGUUUCAGGAAUUACCAGCAGUAGUUAAAAGCCUAGCAAAUACAAACCAGGUAUUGGUGGUCAUUCUCCUAUUUAUCAUUUUCUGUGGUAGCUGCUACUGUUUGACAGAUUUUCAAGUUUAAACAGUCCCCUCCCCACUCAAAGGCAAAAAGGGAAAAGGGCUACAGAAAAAGAAGAGGAUAAGAAAGAAAGAAUUCAGAUUUACUCUUAAAAUGUUCUCAUCAUCCAUUACGCACUGAUGUCUUGCUUCUGGAACUGUUAGUCCCUAUGUAGUAGUAUUGCUACUACAAUGUUAUUUAUUUUCUCACUUUAUUACUUCUUGUUCCAGGUAUUUUCUCUGAUCUUUUAUGAAGCUAACAGGCUGAUACUGGACUUCUCUCGUGGACACUAAUGUGUUUCACAGGGUUCCUUGUUCUGGAGGUGGCAUGGGUUGCUCUAUGCUGUACCAUUUUCGUCUGGACUGAAUUAAGAUUGUGAUUCCCUCUGGCGCAGAAUUACAUAUAUGCUCCUGUAUUUCUUUGUGGAUCAUGCAUUGUUUGAAUUUGUUUAUUUUUAAUUUUUAAGGAGUGAUCAUAAGUGUUGGAUUUGGUAGUUUAGCUGCUUCAUUUCAUUCAUCUCCUAAAUGCUUGAGGUGGCUUUGGAUUCAUUUUAGUUGCCAAUCUAUUGGAGUCACUCAUUUUAAGUCCGGCUUUAAUCUUUAUUGUGCAACUACCCUAAAAACUACAUGAUUAAUUCACAGUUUACACAAAGGGAUGGCAUAAUCCUACAUGUGGGCUGCCAUUGAGCCCUUAUAUCACUUUAAAUAGUUUCUGUGGCUGCUUCUGCUUGUGGGUAUAUGUUUUCUCUAUAUUCCAGAUGCAGGAAUAUAUAAUCAAGACCUUAAGGCGUCAAAAUGUUUUGCUGUAUUUUGUUUCUUAUUGCCACAUUUUCUGCUGAUAUUGAGGAUUUGUUUGGAACCUUUCUUGAAACUGUUACAGGGAUCAGAACUUGCAGAGCCAUGUGAACAAACAUCAGAUAUACAUGGAAAAGAUAUUAAAAGGUUGGUGCAGACAUCAGCAAAUGGAAUAAUUCCAAUCCCUCCAAGAACAAUGCCCCCGCCAACAAUGCUGCCACCCCCACCAAAAUUUACUACAUCAAGACCUGGAAUUUAUGGUGGCAACAGCAUCAACAAUGGCUUGAAAUCUGAAAGUGUACCUGGUAGUUUCAUGGUUUCUUUCCUUUUGGUUUCUGAUUUUGAGCCUAGAUUGUAGAAAAGAAAUAUAUACUAAUUUCCUAUAGAACAAUAUAACUGGUUGCUUGCGGAUCUUUGCAAGAUGCUUAUUCUUGAAACUUUUUGACUUUCAGUAUUAUAAGCUUUGAGAUUUAUGCUUGUCAAGUUUUAAUGAAAUGUCAGUUUACAUGUGUCUCAACUCCCCCCCCUCCCCCCAAAACCUUUUUCUAUCUAGAGUUGUUCCUUAUUUUCCACGGUCAUCAUUUCAGAUACAUUAAUCAAGUUAAUGGAAUAUGGGGAUGAGGAUGAGGAUGAUGAUCUUGAUGAACCAAAUGAAGACUCCAUCAAAAGAUGCUCCAGUACUUUGGUGGCUCCAAAACCAUUCUGGGCUGUCUGAGUCGCAUGUAGCAUCGUUGUCUGGCCUCCCGUGGAGAUUUUGGCCGCAUAUUCUUCUUGAUGCUGUAGGCUCUUAUGCGGAAUUUCAGUUUUAGAAUGUGGUAAAAUUUUGGUAUACUGCAUGUUCUGUGCAAUUUUGUAGCUCUAUUUCAAUUUUUUUGUGGAAUUCUUGAAGAUCUGUUGGUGCUAAUGCGUCACUUUCUUACAUAGAAUGGAUACGGUGUAAUAGAGAUUAUCCAGUUUUAUUUCCGGGAAGGUUCUUGUAGUAGAUUUGUCGAUCAUGUCAUUGAGGCAGCAAAAUCAAGACUUCAAAUGAAUCAACAGCUAGAGGUAUUGAAAAACCGGCAGCGCUAUUUGGAAAGUUAACAGUGCUAGAAGCUGGUUGUGGCCUUGCAGCUUUAUUUCCCUUUGAUUACAAGAUUGAGAUGAACCUGCCUUUUACAUUCCAAAUUUUUUAAAAAUCAUGAGCGCUGUUUCUAUGCUUUUGCUUAAUACAGAAAUAUCCAUUGGACAAACUUCAAACGCGGAGAGCAUUAAAUGGAGCAAGCCGGAGUGCAACUAGUAAACAGCCAAUUCAACUUUUGAUUUUAAUUUUUAAUUUUUGAGCGAAACAAGCAACGCCCCCGUUAGACUAAUCUUAGCUGCUAGCAGCUGGCAGGAGAGGAAUCACCAUAUUGUAUCUUGACGAUCUCAUUAAACACACAGCCGCAGAGAGAAAAAAGAAAAGAGAGGAAAGCAUGGCAGACCACCAAUUUUUACCUCUCCGUUUUCUUCGUGCACGGCACAACUCUAGGAUUGUGUACAAGAAUAUAUAUAAAGCAGGUGUAAGGGCCGGUUACACAGCAGAACUACGAUAUCCCGGUAUCAUUUCACACCAAUAGUAAUCACGGUAAGAACUAGCGCAAGGCUUUGUUCAUAUGUACCAAUACGGGGACAGCAGCAAAGGAGACAACGGGAAUCACCUCCAAAACAAAUCUUCACAAGUUUCGGAUAAGAUUCAUCGACCAUCACUAAUUAGAAAAUUGAAAAUUAAACCUACUUGGGACAAAACACAUGCAGCAUUCAAUGCUUUAAUCCCGUGUGGUUUCUCGCUUUCCCUUUCCAAAGAAAGGAGUCCAGCCUUUCAGCUAAUAAACCACGAGAAAGCUUCUGCAUGCAUAACACAGCAUAGAAACAUAAAACUUUAUUUGGAUAAUCUCUUCAAUUCCUCGCCCUAGAGCACUAGAUUUGUGUACAAGCAGGUUCUUGAUAGGGGAAAAGAGAACUUUCAGCCCCUUGUGUUGACGUAAUCAUUGGAAUCAUCUUCAUCAUCAUCAUUAUCCUUGUAGUUUGCGUUCAGUGUGUCUUGGCCAAAAUCUUCGUCAAGAGCAUCUGCUUCCCCUUGAUUGCCACUCAACUGUUCCUGAGCUUGUCCAUAUGGCGAGGCAUUUCCAUCAAAACCAGAGUUUGCAAAUCCACCUUGAUUAGAUGAAUCACUGCUCAAGUAGUGGCUAUCUCCACUAGCACCAAAAUUGCCAGCGUUCCCAUCACCAACUCUACUUCCGUAAUUGCUGCCACUGAACCCAUCCAUCCUGCCAUCCCCACUAGCAUAUUGAUUGCUAUUUCCAUAGUUUCCACUAUCAUAUCCACCUCUUGGGCCACCACCUCCAUAACCGCCACUUGCAUAUCCUCCAGGGCCUCCAUAACCACCAUUUCCACGACCAUAGUUAAAGCCGCCACCGCCACCAUAACCAUAGCCACCAUCAAAUCUUGGAGCCCGAGGCCUGUCAUUUGCAUAAUUCACCCUUAUCCGUCGGCCAUGAAGAUCCUUAAGGAAAACAAAUCAUACUGUUAGUUAGGUUCCCAAAUGUUAUGGUCGGUAAACUUUCACCUUAUACAACAAAAGAAGUAAUUUGGUAAAAGAGACAGACAUGCAGAACUAGUAUUACAGUGGAAAACAGGAACACAAUUUAAAAAAAAAAAAAACUAAUUAAUAGACAUUCUGCUGAUAUCCAGAUAUAACUUUAUUGUAAGUUAUUCAUCAAUGGUGAACCCUUGAGACAAAUUUAUCACAUUGCCUCUUUGGGGACAUGCAACUCAACCAUUCAGUCAGUCAGGCAUGCAUCUCCAUACUUCAUUGAGAUAAUUGAUUUAAGUCAUUCGAAUGAUCUCUCUUUCUACUGCAAUCAUCCGAGUCAAGCAUAAUAGUCACCUAUUUCGAUACGGUUCACUCAUGUACAAUGUUGUAUACAGGAUGACAACCACUAAUCAUGAAAAGAAUAAUUCAGACAGCUCCUCUCUCUCUCUCUCUCUCUCUCUCUGACAAAAAAUAUAAAAUAAAAUAAAUAACCAAAAGAAGCAAAACUAUAAAAAAAACCAUUAGUACCUGGCCGUCAAAUGCCUGAAUAGCUGCUGAAGCCUCCUCACUAGAGGCAUAAGUUACAAAGCCAAAACCUCUUGAGUUUCCAUGGUCACGAUCCAUGAUAAUUCUAGCUGUAAGUAAAGUGUAUAAAUUAAUAAGUAACAGAAGCUUUAUACUUGGAUACAACAUUGUUCCCAUUGUAAACUAAUUUCACAUGCAGGAUCUAGAAAUCUCUCUGUGUCAAUCUUUUUUUAUCAAGAUUGCUUUCUGCAGUACCAACAAAUAAAAACAAACACGAAACUUGCAGAACAGAAAAAUUCCAAGCUUUGCCCCAUUGCAUACAAACAUACACAUACAAAAAUUUUGUAUCGAGAUACAAGGAUACGUGAUCUUUAGAAAUGAAAAACUAUUCCUCAAGAUCUACAUGGAAAUCUCAAUUUUGGGGUAAAUAUUUACUGGUUCGCAAGAUUAUCAAACUCAUUUAAAUGUCAGAGGUCAGACAAGUGUAUCAACCACAAAAAAAGUAUGACAGAAAUCAAGGGAUCGAUUAUGAUGGUGCGAGCAAACUGCUGAAUACCUUCAACAACUUCGCCAUGCUGAGAGAAGGCUUCCUUCAAACUCGUCUCAUCAGUGUUGUAAGAAAGCCCUUCAGGAAUAAAACAUCAGUUGACUUUGGAGAGCAAAAAGCAGCAGAAAGAAGAAUUUUGGGAAAAAAAAAAAACAGAGAGAGAGGAGUGAACAUAUUACCUCCAACAAAGAGCUUUGAAGAUGACAUGCUUCUUAUAGUCUGGUAAAGUGACGAGUUGGAAGCAGAUAAUUCCAAAUUCAUAUGCCUGCUCACUCUCAGUUUAAGCACAUUGCUAAUUCUAUUGACAAAAGCCAUGUCUACACCUAGAACAAAGUACACAAAGUCAUUGCCAUUAUUUCAUAAUAAACCAGUUGCAGAACAAAGCCAAGAACAAUAUACACACUGAACUUCAGAACACAGGCAAAGGAAAACUUUACAAAGAAAUAACCACAAUUACUGCAUGGGACAAGGUGAACUAACAUAUUCGCAGACUUUAGAGAAUCAUAUGGGUCAAGAAAGAUCGCUUAAUUUCUUUCAUACGAGCGAAAAACAACAUGAUAGGUGUACCAGCAGUAGGAUGAGAAAAAUCUAGAAAAUAGCCCAAUUUUUUUUGUUGAAAUCAAGCCCAGUAACUUGAACGAAACAAGGAAUAUGAUAUAGUACAACAAGAACCCAUCUUUUUCCAAACGGACAAACGAUUUUGAUAAUACGCAAGGUACCUAAACCAAAUGCAUGAUAUUACUAAAGCCCUUCGUCUUAAUCAGGAAAUACACACAAGCCCCAAAUUGAAUUGCAAGUAGUCAACAAGAGGGUACAACCGCAAAUAAAAUCUAACGAAUAAAAAGUGAUAAAACCAUAACCCUUAAAAGAAGCUCAACAAUCGCGAUAAAACUGAAAUGAAACGCUAAAUUAGAACAGUAGAAUCAAUAUUCUAAACAUUUCUUACUAUAAAAUGUCAAGAAAAAGGUUUACGGUUUUGGGAGAAGACGUAUGAUUAAGUGCCAAAAGACUCAGACCUUCUCUCUGACAGCGGCUGCCUCUGCUUCCGUUGUCCCUUCCCUUCCGGAAAUGGACCUGCGAGGGUUUUAGGAGAUUUACAGUGGCAGAGGGCCGAAAUACUUUAUAAUGGGGGGAGGAAUGUUUACGCCGUUGAUCUAAACUACAUAGGUACAUGAUUACCGUUGGAUGGCCAGUAAAUAAUGAGGUCAAAUUCAAGGUCGAUUUUUCUUUUAAUUUUUUUUUUUUUUGACGAGAAUGAAAUUGAUCACAUUAAAUUAUCCAUCCAUCAUGUUGGGGUGAAAAGAAAUGAAAAUCCCUCAAAAUUGACUUAAUGAUGAAUAAUCCUUGAUGUUCCUGAAUUCACUUACCUCAAAAUUUUCCUAGUUUGUUAAAUAGAAUUAAAAAAAAUGGUAUCAUGAGAUAGAUUAAAAUUUAUGCCAAUAAAAGUUAUUGAGUAAACUAUAUGUAGUUAGCAAUUAAGAGUGAAGUAGAGGGAAGCAAUUAAAAUCCUGUUGAACAUUGAAAUCUGUGAAAGUGUUCAAUUGAAUGGAGAUGGAGGCCGAUGACCCAUCACAUUACAUCGUUGGAUACAAAUGAAAACUUAUUUGAUUGCAUUAUAAAUAUAUGUUUUAUUUAUUUUUUAAUUCUUUUAUCUAACAUACAUAUGUAACAUUAUAAAAAAAAAAUGAUACAACAAUUAAUACUCUAAAAAAUUUUUCUAAAUACUAAAUAUUCCUCUAUCACAGCACUUUUCGAGGUGCCAUGCUUGACAACAUGUUUUGGAGUUAACUGUCAAAGAAUUAAGACAUGAGUAGAAACAGAGUAGUUUUCUUUUUCUUUUGUUAAAGAAUCGUUAUGCCAGUCGUUGUAAACGAUCAAAGUUCCCAUAAAUUGGUUUCUGCAGCUUUUGGACAUGUUAAUAGUAGCAGUAAUAGAUUUUGAAUCAGCCACAGGCAAACUCACUCCCUUGUAUGUUAUCAAAUCAUCAGAGACUUAAUAAGGGCCACAGAGUAAUGGUUAAAGGCUAGGUAAAAAAAGGCUAGCUCCGGAGAACUUCUGCUGGUUUUCCUGCGACUUGACCAAGCGACUUGGCUUACAAAUUCUUGAAGCAAUUAAGCAAAGCAGACCCAUUAUGCCUGCCGUCUUUGCAGCUUCAUCUUGACUCAUUGAUGUUUCUCAACCAUAAAUAUGGACUUCUUGCUCUUUAUUUCAGGCAACAUAGUCUCACUGGUUGAUGGUGACAAUCUGCAUCAGUCACUCAACGAUUGGUGCAGGGCCUACAAAGAUGUAAUAUCGGCAAUUGGGCAAUCUCUCAUCUGGUCUUUGCAUUUCACAUGACAUGGGCAUGAAUUCUCUCGACUUCCACAGUAGCAUUAGGACCACAACAUCUUGGAAGGAUUUGCCAUAUUUUAUUCACCGGCACCGCUUCAUAAGAACACACACAACAAAAUGAAAGUAUGCAGCAGCGCAUACCAUGGAAUCUUUUGCGAGGGUAUAUACAGAUUGCAUGGCACUGCAAUAAUUUGCAUUUUAGUUUUUGAGUUACAGAGAAUACCAAACUCCAGUCUCGCAUGCAUGCCACAAUUAACUUGUAAUUUUGCAUAUAAGAACUACACACACAGUCUGCGCAGUUAUACCUGAGUACAACAGUGUUUAGAAUCCUUUGCCAUCAGUGUUUAGAACAACUCCAGCAAAGUACAACAACCUUCAAGUCCCAUCUAUAUUAAGUAAUACACUUGCUUACAGUGUAAAAUUUUCCAUUUAUGGAUUACAAAGCUGAUACAAAAGUUACAAAAUUGGAAUCUUUAGUUUGUAAUGGUUGAGAUGGACAAUUAAGAAAAUUCUAACUCAGUGUGUAUGAACUCCCUCAAUCAAUCCCGCUCCAUCCAUCAUUACUAUUUCCUAUGGCUGCCAUG